rnacentral:rRNA from 1 species
UACGUAGGGUCCAAGCGUUGUCCGGAUUUAUUGGGCGUAAAGAGCUCGUAGGCGGUUCCGUAAGUCGGAUGUGAAAAACUCAGGGCUCACCCGGACGACGCCAUCCGAUACUGCGGUGACUGGAGUCUGGUAGGGGGAACACGGAAUUCCUGGGUGUAGCGGGUGAAAAUGCGCAGAUAUCAGGAGGAACACCGAUGGCGAAGGCAGUGUUCUGGGGCCAGUACUGACGCUGAGGAGCGAAAGCGUGGGAGCAAACAGG